rnacentral:hammerhead_ribozyme from 1 species
ACCCAGCCGACGAGUCUCAGAUAGGAUGAAACGCACGUCUUGUAU